rnacentral:rRNA from 1 species
CCUACGGGUGGCUGCAGUGGGGAAUAUUGCACAAUGGGCGCAAGCCUGAUGCAGCCAUGCCGCGUGUGUGAAGAAGGCCUUCGGGUUGUAAAGCACUUUCAGCGGGGAGGAAGGCGUUAAGGUUAAUAACCUUGGCGAUUGACGUUACCCGCAGAAGAAGCACCGGCUAACUCCGUGCCAGCAGCCGCGGUAAUACGGAGGGUGCAAGCGUUAAUCGGAAUUACUGGGCGUAAAGCGCACGCAGGCGGUCUGUCGAGUCGGAUGUGAAAUCCCCGGGCUCAACCUGGGAACUGCAUUCGAAACUGGCAGGCUAGAGUCUUGUAGAGCGGGGUAGAAUUCCAGGUGUAGCGGUGAAAUGCGUAGAGAUCUGGAGGAAUACCGGUGGCGAAGGCGGCCCCCUGGACAAAGACUGACGCUCAGGUGCGAAAGCGUGGGGAGCAAACAGGAUUAGAUACCCCUGUAGUC